GGAGGCUUCGCCUAGUCUGGUCUAUGGCGCGGGAUUGCUAAUCCCGUUGGGGCUCAAGCCCCUCGAGGGUUCGAAUCCCUCAGCCUCCG
rnacentral:tRNA from 2 species